GGGCCCGGCUGCCCGCCCUCUCCGCUGAGGGGUGAUGCGGGGGUUCCGGUCGGGCCUACAGGGGAUGAUGACCUUUUGCUUUGCCGAGCGGUGAUGAGCACGCCCUUCCCUGACCCUCAAAGUCCGG
rnacentral:snoRNA from 1 species